rnacentral:rRNA from 1 species
AGUCGAGCGGUAGAGAGAAGCUUGCUUCUCUUGAGAGCGGCGGACGGGUGAGUAAUGCCUAGGAAUCUGCUUGGUAGUGGGGGAUAACGUUCGGAAACGGACGCUAAUACCGCAUACGUCCUACGGGAGAAAGCAGGGGACCUUCGGGCCUUGCGCUAUCAGAUGAGCCUAGGUCGGAUUAGCUAGUUGGUGGGGUAAUGGCUCACCAAGGCGACGAUCCGUAACUGGUCUGAGAGGAUGAUCAGUCACACUGGAACUGAGACACGGUCCAGACUCCUACGGGAGGCAGCAGUGGGGAAUAUUGGACAAUGGGCGAAAGCCUGAUCCAGCCAUGCCGCGUGUGUGAAGAAGGUCUUCGGAUUGUAAAGCACUUUAAGUUGGGAGGAAGGGCAGUAAAUUAAUACUUUGCUGUUUUGACGUUACCGACAGAAUAAGCACCGGCUAACUCUGUGCCAGCAGCCGCGGUAAUACAGAGGGUGCAAGCGUUAAUCGGAAUUACUGGGCGUAAAGCGCGCGUAGGUGGUUCGUUAAGUUGGAUGUGAAAUCCCCGGGCUCAACCUGGGAACUGCAUUCAAAACUGACGAGCUAGAGUAUGGUAGAGGGUGGUGGAAUUUCCUGUGUAGCGGUGAAAUGCGUAGAUAUAGGAAGGAACACCAGUGGCGAAGGCGACCACCUGGACUGAUACUGACACUGAGGUGCGAAAGCGUGGGGAGCAAACAGGAUUAGAUACCCUGGUAGUCCACGCCGUAAACGAUGUCAACUAGCCGUUGGGAGCCUUGAGCUCUUAGUGGCGCAGCUAACGCAUUAAGUUGACCGCCUGGGGAGUACGGCCGCAAGGUUAAAACUCAAAUGAAUUUGACGGGGGCCCGCACAAGCGGUGGAGCAUGUGGGUUUAAUUCGAAGCAACGCGAAGAACCUUACCAGGCCUUGACAUCCAAUGAACUUUCUAGAGAUAGAUUGGUGCCUUCGGGAACAUUGAGACAGGUGCUGCAU